rnacentral:rRNA from 1 species
AGUGAACGCUGGCGGUAGGCCUAACACAUGCAAGUCGAACGGCAGCACAGUAAGAGCUUGCUCUUACGGGUGGCGAGUGGCGGACGGGUGAGGAAUACAUCGGAAUCUACUUUUUCGUGGGGGAUAACGUAGGGAAACUUACGCUAAUACCGCAUACGACCUACGGGUGAAAGCAGGGGAUCUUCGGACCUUGCGCGAUUGAAUGAGCCGAUGUCGGAUUAGCUAGUUGGCGGGGUAAAGGCCCACCAAGGCGACGAUCCGUAGCUGGUCUGAGAGGAUGAUCAGCCACACUGGAACUGAGACACGGUCCAGACUCCUACGAGGGGCAGCAGUGGGGAAUAUUGGACAAUGGGCGCAAGCCUGAUCCAGCCAUACCGCGUGGGUGAAGAAGGCCUUCGGGUUGUAAAGCCCUUUUGUUGGGAAAGAAAAGCAGCAGGUUAAUACCCCGCUGUUCUGACGGUACCCAAAGAAUAAGCACCGGCUAACUUCGUG